GUACUGCUGGAGAGUCCCAAAUUAGGACGAAACAGUUGUCCAGUAC
rfam:Trichobilharzia regenti genome assembly, scaffold: TRE_scaffold0006388